GCCUCGCUAGCUCAAUCGGUAGAGCGUGAGACUCUUAUAUGCGAGUUUUGAGAAUUUCCAGGAUAUCUCAAGGUUGCGGGUUCGACCCCCGCGUGGGGCU